AACGGUGCCUACUCUGCUCCUACAGACAUACUUAGAGCCUCCAGGCAAUGCUGCGCUCUGCUUAGAUGAGUCCCCAUGCAGGGACAGGCCUCUUCUGGUACAGACCUGUGACAGGUGUGCAACUUCACACCUCCUGCAAGAGCAACAAAAUGAAGAUCUGAAUAAAU